GGCUCAGAACGAACGCUGGCGGCAGGCCUAACACAUGCAAGUCGAGCGCUCUCUUCGGAGGGAGCGGCGGACGGGUGAGUAACGCGUGGGAAUAUGCCCUUCUCUAAGGAAUAGCCACUGGAAACGGUGAGUAAUACCUUAUACGCCCUUCGGGGGAAAGAUUUAUCGGAGAAGGAUUAGCCCGCGUUAGAUUAGAUAGUUGGUGGGGUAAUGGCCUACCAAGUCUACGAUCUAUAGCUGGUUUUAGAGGACGAUCAGCCACACUGGGACUGAGACACGGCCCAGACUCCUACGGGAGGCAGCAGUGGGGAAUCUUAGACAAUGGGCGAAAGCCUGAUCUAGCCAUGCCGCGUGAGUGAUGAAGGCCUUAGGGUCGUAAAGCUCUUUCGCCAGGGAUGAUAAUGACAGUACCUGGUAAAGAAACCCCGGCUAACUCCGUGCCAGCAGCCGCGGUAAUACGGAGGGGGUUAGCGUUGUUCGGAAUUACUGGGCGUAAAGCGCACGUAGGCGGAUCAGAAAGUUGGGGGUGAAAUCCCAGGGCUCAACCCUGGAACUGCCUUCAAAACUCCUGGUCUAGAGUUCGAGAGAGGUGAGUGGAAUUCCAAGUGUAGAGGUGAAAUUCGUAGAUAUUUGGAGGAACACCAGUGGCGAAGGCGGCUCACUGGCUCGAUACUGACGCUGAGGUGCGAAAGUGUGGGGAGCAAACAGGAUUAGAUACCCUGGUAGUCCACACCGUAAACGAUGAAUGCC
rnacentral:rRNA from 1 species